rnacentral:rRNA from 1 species
CUACCGCAUAUUCUGUGAGCAGGAAAGCAGGGGAUCGCAAGACCUUGCGCUGAUUGAGCGGCCGAUAUCAGAUUAGCUAGUUGGUGAGGUAAAGGCUCACCAAGGCGACGAUCUGUAGCGGGUCUGAGAGGAUGAUCCGCCACACUGGAACUGAGACACGGUCCAGACUCCUACGGGAGGCAGCAGUGGGGAAUUUUGGACAAUGGGCGCAAGCCUGAUCCAGCCAUGCCGUGUGAGUGAAGAAGGCCUUCGGGUUGUAAAGCUCUUUCGGCCGGGAAGAAAUCGCACAGGUUAAUACCCUGUGUGGAUGACGGUACCGGAAUAAGAAGCACCGGCUAACUACGUG